rnacentral:piRNA from 1 species
UGUUUACUGGGAGAUGUCUCACAUA